rnacentral:rRNA from 1 species
UACAGAGGGGGCAAGCGUUGUUCGGAAUUACUGGGCGUAAAGGGCGCGUAGGCGGCCUGUUAAGUCGAACGUGAAAUCCCCGGGCUCAACCCGGGAACUGCGUCCGAAACCGGCAGGCUCGAAUUCGGGAGAGGGAUGCGGAAUUCCAGGUGUAGCGGUGAAAUGCGUAGAUAUCUGGAGGAACAUCGGUGGCGAAGGCGGCAUCCUGGACCGAUAUUGACGCUGAGGCGCGAAAGCCAGGGGAGCAAACGGG